rnacentral:rRNA from 1 species
UACAGAGGUCUCAAGCGUUGUUCGGAUUCAUUGGGCGUAAAGGGUGCGUAGGCGGCGCGGUAAGUCGGGUGUGAAAUCUCGGAGCUUAACUCCGAAACUGCAUUCGAUACUGCCGUGCUUGAGGACUGGAGAGGAGACUGGAAUUUACGGUGUAGCGGUGAAAUGCGUAGAUAUCGUAAGGAAGACCAGUGGCGGAAGGCGGGUCUCUGGACAGUUCCUGACGCUGAGGCACGAAGGUCAGGGGAGCAAACGGG